GAUGAACGCUAGCGAUAGGCUUAACACAUGCAAGUCGAGGGGCAGCAUGGUCUUAGCUUGCUAAGACUGAUGGCGACCGGCGCACGGGUGCGUAACGCGUAUGCAACUUGCCUCACAGAGGGGGAUAACCCGUCGAAAGACGGACUAAUACCGCGUACACUUGGGAUAGGGCAUCCUGACCCAAGGAAAUGAAAUUCGCUGUGAGAUAGGCAUGCGUCCCAUUAGCUAGUUGGUGAGGUAACGGCUCACCAAGGCGACGAUGGGUAGGGGAACUGAGAGGUUGAACCCCCACACUGGUACUGAGACACGGACCAGACUCCUACGGGAGGCAGCAGUGAGGAAUAUUGGGCAAUGGGCGAGAGCCUGAACCAGCCAAGUCGCGUGAAGGAUGACUGUCUUAUGGAUUGUAAACUUCUUUUAUACGGGAAUAACAAGAGCCACGUGUGGCUCCCUGCAUGUACCGUAUGAAUAAGCAUCGGCUAACUCCGUG
rnacentral:rRNA from 1 species